rnacentral:rRNA from 1 species
AACGCGAAGAACCUUACCUCGCGGUUUCAUCUCCGGAAUCCAGCAGAGAGGCAGGAGUGCUCCCUGGAAUCGGAACACAGGUGCUGCAUGGCUGUCGUCAGCUCGUGUCGUGAGAUGUUGGGUUAAGUCCCGCAACGAGCGCAACCCUUGUCCUUAGUUGCCAGCACGUAAUGGUGGGGACUCUAAGGAGACUGCCGGUGACAAACCGGAGGAAGGUGGGGAUGACGUCAAGUCAUCAUGCCCCUUAUGUCCAGGGCUUCACACGUGCUACAAUGGCCGGUACAAAGGGUUGCUAUACCGCGAGGUGGAGCCAAUCCCAGAAAGCCGAUCUCAGUUCGGAUUGGGGUCUGCAACUCGACCUUCGUGAAGUCGGAGUCGCUAGUAAUCGCAGAUCAGCAACACCUUCCCGGGUCUUGUACACACCG